CGGGUGAGUAUCGCGUGGGUAAUCUACCCUUGGAUUCAGGAUAACACUUCGAAAGGGGUGCUAAUACUGGAUAACAUCCUGAUGGUUUUGGCCAUAAGGAUCAAAGAUAGCCUCUACAUGUAAGCUAUUGUACAGGGAUGAGCCCGCGUACCAUUAGCUAGUUGGUGGGGUAAGGGCCUACCAAGGCAACGAUGGUUAGCUGGUCUGAGAGGAUGAUCAGCCACACUGGAACUGAAACACGGUCCAGACUCCUACGGGAGGCAGCAGUGAGGAAUUUUGCGCAAUGGGGGAAACCCUGACGCAGCAACGCCGCGUGAGUGAAGAAGGCUUUCGGGUCGUAAAGCUCUGUCAAGAGGGAAGAAAGUGGGAGAUGGUAAUACUGUUUUCUAUUGACGGUACCUCUGAAGGAAGCACCGGCUAACUCCGUGCCAGCAGCCGCGGUAAUACGGGGGGUGCAAGCGUUAUUCGGAUUUAUUGGGCGUAAAGAGCGCGUAGGCGGUUUAUCAAGUCAGAUGUGAAAGCCCUGGGCUCAACCUGGGAAGUGCAUUUGAAACUAGUAGACUUGAGUAUGGGAGAGGGGAGUGGAAUUCCUGGUGUAGAGGUGAAAUUCGUAGAUAUCAGGAGGAACACCGGUGGCGAAGGCGACUUCCUGGACCAAUACUGACGCUGAGGCGCGAAGGCGUGGGGAGCAAACAGGAUUAGAUACCCUGGUAGUCCACGCAGUAAACGGUGAUCACUAGGUGUAGCGGGUAUUGACCCCUGCUGUGCCGCCAGUUAACGCCAUUAA
rnacentral:rRNA from 1 species